CACCAGUCCCGGCACGCUUCCCCAUUGGCCAGGGCCCCCUCACGACAGCCUCCGCACCCCGCCCAUCUGCGCUCGCUAUUGGAUGGAGGCCCAGAGGGGCGGGAAGGGGCGGUGUCGAAGCGCCAACAGAUGGGGGCGGGGCCUUUCCCUCCGGGAGCCGGGCGUGGGCCGGGGGCCGCGGCCGGGUGCAGCGGCGGGCGUCGUGGGGGAGGGUUGGGGGCGCGGGCCGCGUGCAGCUGGGGGUGGGGGAGAGGGGGAGGGGCAGGGCAGGCGGUGUCCCCCAGCACGGCGGGGCCGCUCCUCCGGCCCUGCGGGUCGUCGCAGCACCCCUCACGCCUACCAGGGCCGGGCAGCAAACAGACUUUGAUCCUCCGAGCUGAGUCCACGUGGUGAGGCAGGAGGGAAGGGAGGCUGGGGAGACAAGUUGACCUAAGUAAAGCCAUUUUGGUAUUUAGGCUGACCCUUAACCUAAAAGUCAGCAGGUCAUAAAAAGUCACAAGAUCCCACUCAUGGAAGACCACAAGACCGGACUCCCUCUGGCAGUAAAAGUCAUAGAGGCUGGACAUUCUUAAAAUUGCUCCCUGUGGGUAAUUCCACAACCCUAAGACAACAGAGAAACUAACCGCUCGGUGUAAAUGAUAAACUUGAAGUUUAGGAGUAAGCCCCUCCCGUACGUUAGCUGAUUUUGAAAAACUUAUAAAACCUUUCUUUAGAGGCGGAGGGGGGGUCCUCUUCCUCACCUGGGAGGAGAGACGGCUGCUUUGUCCGGAGAGUAGCUCCCUUCUCACUUCUAUGCUUGAUACACCUUUGUCCCUUUCUCUAAAUGGCUUGCCCUCUAAUUUUUUCUCCGCAAAGCCAAGACCCCGCCUGGCGGGUGGCCUGAGACCCUCCGUCUGGGCUUCCACCGGCCUGCAUCCAGUAGAAGAGACCAGAGACCGCGCCCGCUGUGUGACAGACUGCAACCAGGGAGGGGCCGAGAGGGGGAGCCCGUGGCCCCUGAACAGGAGGAAGAACCCCCACUGUUUUGGACAAAACAAGACAAAGGCAAAGGUAGCCAGUGCCUCAGGAUCUAUACAUAAGGCUAGUUUGGAGCUAUGUUAUUUUGCAUUAAAAAAAUAUAUUUCUAUUUUCCCCCCAUUUGUAUGUGGUGUGUUUCUCAUUUCCCCAUCCACACUACAGAGCUGGAUCCUCAUCUAUUUCUGUUCUGCAGUAACAGAAAAGAAUGGAGAAAAGUUUCCAAGACAUUAUAAAGGGAGAAUUGAUAGGAUUUGA
rnacentral:lncRNA from 1 species